GAUUACAUAUUAAGAAAUACCCUUACAUUUUUUUUUUGGAUUUUUCGGGCUGUAUUUAAAAUUUUUGAAAAUUUUCUGUCUCGGAGACCGGUCUCAGGGAAGAGAGACCGGUCCCUCCGCCCGAACCGAUAUAAGGGUGUAUGCAGUUUUUUCUUUUCACUUUACCAAUCUCGCUUAGGUUUUUUUCUCCAGAGCUUCUAAUAUUCCCAGGGUAUUUUUGCUUCAAAUCUUCAUCAAUUUACACUUGAUUUAGGUACGAUUCUCGGAUUUUAUUACAUUGUUAUCUUAUAAUCCAUAUUUAAGCCUUAUUUUCGGUUUUUGAGGAUUUGUUCUUAUUAUAUUGUUAGAUCUUUGCAUUUUUGUCCUGAUUUUAUCUCUCGACGUGUUAGUCAACUUUUUCAUGCAUUGUUUCAUAUUUUGAUACAUUUGUUUGGUUGUUGUUGCUAUGCUUUCUUCAUCAAGACCUAUUUUUUCAAAUUUUUCGAAAAUUGGGAUUUUACUGAUUUUUGAUGCUUGAUUUGUUUAUGAUUUAUAUGAUCAUGUGGCCCAUAGGAUUAUCUCAUAUUUAUAUACCAAUUUGCUGAAAUUUUCUUUUUAUGAAAUUUUAUAUGUAAAUUUCAUUAUGUUUAACAGGUAAUUUUCAAAAAUGUACUCGUGGGUUCUCGUGCUAGUUGUCCUUAUGGCUGGGGGUGGUCGCGGUAGCAAGCGACAGCGCGCCUCAGCUAAGAGGCCGGUUGAGCAACAACCGGAAGAUGAAGGGAGUGAGUAUGCCCCGGGUGAUGAAUCUGAGGAGGACGAGCAGGAUUGGGAGACUUUUGUUCCUGAAGUUUUGGCUAAGGAAAAGGACGCUGGGAAAGGCAAGGGAAAAGGAAAAGCUGUGGAUAAAGGCAAAGGAAAAGCAACUGAACGUCCCAGUCGUCGUAAGUCCGGGGGUGUUGAGAUUCGAGAACCGGGCUCUGAACACCACGUCGCAGUUUACAGGAUGUUCCAUCUAAUCGACGGUUAAUGUAUUCGUCGAAACACUGCAUUGGUGAGCGAGAUGUUGGGGUGGCCAGUAUUAUUAGUUGUGUGCCGGGUUUUCAGGAUUUGUUUGAACAGG
rnacentral:lncRNA from 1 species